rnacentral:rRNA from 1 species
GCUAAACGCGAAGAACCUUACCUACACUUGACAUACCUCUUGGGACUUUCAGAGAUGAUUGUUUCGGUUCGGCCGGGGAGGAUACAGGUGCUGCAUGGCUGUCGUCAGCUCGUGUCGUGAGAUGUUGGGUUAAGUCCCGCAACGAGCGCAACCCUUAUCGUAUGUUGCCAGCAUUUAGUUGGGCACUCAUGCGAGACUGCCGGUGAUAAGCCGGAGGAAGGCGGGGACGACGUCAAGUCAUCAUGGCCCUUACGUGUAGGGCUAGAAACGUGCUACAAUGGUGGUCACAAUGGGCAGCGAAGUCGUGAGGCUAAGCUAAUCCCAAAAGCCAUCUCAGUUCAGAUUGUAGUCUGCAACUCGACUACAUGAAGUUGGAAUCGCUAGUAAUCGCAAAUCAGCAUGUUGCGGUGAAUACGUUCCCGGGUCUUGUACACACCG